rnacentral:lncRNA from 1 species
CAAUUGUGAAUGAUAUGACACUGACCCAUUUUUUUCUGUUUCAUUUCAUUUCAGCAGCACUUAGACAUACAGUAUAUCCAGUGUGUAAUUUCUGUGUGUGCAUGAUUGGAAGCUCAGCUUUACAUGUGGUGGCAAAGACUCUGAUUUUUAUUGAAAUCCAGUUGUCUUCAUCAAGAGUGUCCUCCUUUUUUGCUCUUUUGGUUGGGUUAUUUGGCGGCCAGUAACUGUACUGUUGCUGAAAUACAUGCAGCAUGCACACAGCUACAGUCCAGCAUUGAGCCACAAUGCCAACCAGAUUUUCCUCAGUAAAUUCCACAAUGCAGUACAUUCUGUAGAAAAGACAGUAUGUGUUCAUUUUAAUACAACUUUAAGAGAUAAUCAGAGACAUUUUACAAUGCAUAGCAGUACACUCACAUGGCAAAAAUAAUGUAUAUUCUAUUCAAAAUGUUUUUUUAGGUGUGUAUGAUGCCUGUUCUGACAUUCACUAUCCCUUCACCAGCAUUCAUUAUCUGACUGCAGGACUGCUAUUGUCAGAUAAUGGAACCAUAGAAGUCAAAAUAGGCAUAAUAUUCAGGCAUGAUCUUCUAAUUGAAUAUACCAAAUAAUAAAAGUGACAUUUCCAGACA